rnacentral:rRNA from 1 species
AGUGAACGCUGGCGGUAGGCCUAACACAUGCAAGUCGAACGGCCGCACCGUAAGAGCUUGCUCUUACGGGUGGCGAGUGGCGGACGGGUGAGGAAUACAUCGGACUCUACUUUUUCGUGGGGGAUAACGUAGGGAAACUUACGCUAAUACCGCAUACGACCUACGGGUGAAAGCCGGGGAUCUUCGGACCUUGCGCGAUUGAAUGAGCCGAUGUCGGAUUAGCGAGUUGGCGGGGUAAAGGCCCACCAAGGCAACGAUACGGAGCUGGUCUGAGAGGAUGAGCAGGCACACUGGAACUGAGACACGGUCCAGACGCCUACGGGAGGCAGCAGUGGGGAAUAUGGGACAAUGGGCGCAAGCCUGAUCCAGCCAUACCGAGUGGGUGAAGAAGGCCUUCGGGUUGUAAAGACCAUGUGUUGGGAAAGAAAAGCAGCAGGUUAAGACCCCGCUGUUCUGACGGUACCCAAAGAAUAAGCACCGGCUAACUUCGUG